rnacentral:rRNA from 1 species
UACGGGGGGGGCAAGCGUUGUUCGGAAUUACUGGGCGUAAAGGGCUCGUAGGCGGCCAACUAAGUCGGAUGUGAAAUCCCCAAGCUUAACUUGGGAACUGCAUCCGAUACUGGACGGCUAGAGUCUGGUAGGGGGAUCUGGAAUUCCUGGUGUAGCGGUGGAAUGCGCAGAUAUCAGGAGGAACACCGGUGGCGAAGGCGGGAUCCUGGGCCAGUACUGACGCUGAGGAGCGAAAGCGUGGGGAGCAAACAGG